rnacentral:rRNA from 1 species
UUUAAACCCAAAGAAUUUGGCGGUACUUUAUUCCAUUCAGAGGAACCUACCCCGUGAUUGAUAGUACACGAUUAACUUUACUUAAUUUAUUUGUUUGUAUAUCUCCGUUAUCAGAAAAUCUUUUUAGAGAUGAAAUUUUCAUAAUUUAUGAUUAUAAAGUAUUUCAGGUCAAGGUGCAGUUUAUAAUUAAGAGGAGGUGGGUUACUAAUAAAUUUUUGUUUAUUACGGCUAUUUUAAUGAAAUAUUAAAAAUUAAGGUGGAUUUGAUAGUAAAUUAAUUAAUUUAAUUUAAUUGAUAUG